rnacentral:rRNA from 1 species
GUGAGGAAUUUUCCGCAAUGGGCGAAAGCCUGACGGAGCAAUGCCGCGUGAAGGAUGAAGGCCUAUGGGUUGUAAACUUCUUUUCUUAGAGAAGAAUAUUGACGGUAUCUGAGGAAUAAGCAUCGGCUAACUCUGUGCCAGCAGCCGCGGUAAUACGGAGGGUGCGAGCGUUGUCCGGAUUUAUUGGGUUUAAAGGGUGCGUAGGCUGGAAGGUCAGUCAGCGGUGAAAAGCUGUCGCUCAACGAUAGUCUUGCCGCAGAUACUUCCUUUCUUGGAUGAGGAGGAGGCCACUGGAACGGAUGGUGUAGCGGUGAAAUGCAUAGAUAUCAUCCAGAACACCGAUUGCGAAGGCAGGUGGCUGUACCUUAAUCGACGCUGAUGCACGAAAGCAUGGGGAGCAAACAGGAUUAGAAACCCCUGUAGUCC